GAGUUUGAUCAUGGCUCAGAACGAACGCUGGCGGCGCGCCUAACACAUGCAAGUCGAACGAGAGGCUCUUCGGAGUAGUAAAGUGGCGUACGGGUGAGUAAGACAUGGGUAAUCUGCCUUUGAGCGGGGGAUAACCAGCCGAAAGGCUGGCUAAUACCCCAUACGCUUCCGGUCCUUCGGGUAAGGAAGGAAAGCUGCAUCGUGGAUGUGGCACUCGAAGAUGGGCUCAUGGCCUAUCAGCUUGUUGGUGGGGUAAUGGCCUACCAAGGCAACGACGGGUAGCUGGUCUGAGAGGACGAUCAGCCACACUGGCACUGAGAUACGGGCCAGACUCCUACGGGAGGCAGCAGUGAGGAAUAUUGCGCAAUGGGCGAAAGCCUGACGCAGCGACGCCGCGUGGGGGAAGAAGGUUUUCGGAUUGUAAACCCCUUUUAGGAGGAAAGAUGGGGUGGUUCGCCACCCGGACGGUACCUCCAGAAAAAGCCACGGCUAACUUCGUGCCAGCAGCCGCGGUAAUACGAAGGUGGCGAGCGUUGUUCGGAUUUACUGGGCGUAAAGAGCACG
rnacentral:rRNA from 1 species